GAUGAACGCUAGCGGCAGGCUUAACACAUGCAAGUCGAGGGGCAACACGGGUAGCAAUACCUGGUGGCGACCGGCGCAAGGGUGCGUAACGCGUGAGCAACAUGCCCUAUACAGGGGGAUAAUCCAGGGAAACUUGGUCUAAUAUCCCAUAGUAUUUAGAGGUGGCAUCACCACUAAAUUAAAGCUUCGGUGGUAUAGGAUUGGCUCGCGUGACAUUAGCUGGAUGGUGGGGUAACGGCUCACCAUGGCGAUGAUGUCUAGGGGUUCUGAGAGGAAGACCCCCCACACUGGGACUGAGACACGGCCCAGACUCCUACGGGAGGCAGCAGUGAGGAAUAUUGGACAAUGGAUGGAAAAUCUGAUCCAGCCAUGCCGCGUGCAGGAAGACGGCCCUAGUGGGUUAGUAAACUGUCUUUUAUAUGGGAGCAAAUAAGGUUUACGCGUAGACCGAUGAGAGUACCAUAUGAAUAAGCAUCGGCUAACUCCGUG
rnacentral:rRNA from 1 species